rnacentral:misc_RNA from 1 species
GUUUCUUCCUCCAUUUUUCAAUGGCUUCCAUUGUUACUUCUACUGCUCUUCUUUCUUCAUCAAACCCUAGGGUUUUUGCUUCUGCUUCUGCUUCUUCUGCUUUGCCCAAAUUGCCUUCGUUUUCUCAGUCGACAAUUGUUCCUUCUUCUUCAUCUUUCAAUGGACUCCGCAGCUGCAACACUUCAGUUUCUCGUAUCAACAAAUCCCGAUCCUUCGUCGUUCGUGCCUCUAGUGAAGUCCCUCUUGUUGGAAAUAAAGCACCAGAUUUUGAGGCUGAGGCUGUUUUUGAUCAAGAGUUCAUCAAGGUCAAACUUUCUGAGUAUAUUGGGAAGAAAUACGUGAUUCUCUUUUUCUACCCUCUGGACUUCACUUUUGUUUGCCCGACAGAGAUUACUGCUUUCAGCGAUCGUUAUGAAGAAUUUAAGAACGUGAACACAGAAAUACUGGGUGUCUCGAUAGACAGUGUGUUCUCUCACCUUGCCUGGGUCCAAACUGAUAGGAAGACUGGUGGUCUUGGUGAUCUGAAUUAUCCAUUAAUUUCAGAUGUGACAAAGUCAAUUUCAAAAUCUUACAAUGUGCUGAUACCGGAUCAGGGAAUUGCGUUGAGAGGACUGUUUAUCAUUGACAAGGAAGGAGUUAUUCAACACUCCACCAUUAAUAACCUUGCAAUUGGUCGAAGCGUUGAUGAAACACUGAGAACACUUCAGGCAUUGCAAUAUGUUCAGGAGAACCCAGAUGAGGUAUGCCCAGCCGGGUGGAAGCCUGGUGACAAGUCAAUGAAACCAGAUCCUAAAGGCAGCAAAGAAUACUUUGCAUCCAUAUAAGUCGAUGAGAUGAUGGCUGCAGUAUGUCUAUUUGUUUGUUGUUAAGUGAGAUCGUAGAGUUCUGUAACUUUUUUCUCUCGACCUACCUGCUUCGAGUUUUGAGCAUUUUUCUGAAUAUUGUAUGACCAAAUCUUUCUACAUAUUCUGAACUUAGAUCAUAGAUUGAUAAUGACAGCUUGUAAAAGGAUGGUUCUUAAAACUUCUAUGUUUGAAAUUAGUCACUUGUGUCAAGAUUCAAGUGUGUUUUGUAUGUGAAUUGUGACAGUUGAUUGAGUCUUUUUGUCUCAGCCUUAGUGG